rnacentral:rRNA from 1 species
AACGAACGCUGGCGGCAUGCCUAACACAUGCAAGUCGAACGAGACCUUCGGGUCUAGUGGCGCACGGGUGAGUAACACGUAGGUAACCUGCCCCCCAGUCUGGAACAACUAGAGGAAACUCUAGCUAAUGCCGGAUGAGACCACGAUCCCUUCGGGGGUUGCGGCCAAAGAUGGCCUCUACUUGUAAGCUAUCGCUGAGGGAUGGGCCUGCGGGCCAUUAGCUUGUUGGUGAGGUAACGGCUCACCAAGGCUGUGAUGGCUAGCUGGUCUGAGAGGAUGACCAGCCACACUGGGACUGAGACACGGCCCAGACUCCUACGGGAGGCAGCAGUGGGGAAUAUUGCGCAAUGGGCGAAAGCCUGACGCAGCCACGCCGCGUGAGCGAUGAAGGUCUUCGGAUCGUAAAGCUCUGUGGGGGGGAUAGAAGAAAGCCGGUGAAGAGCCGGCCCUGACGGUAUCCCCUUAGCAAGCACCGGCUAACUCCGUGCCAGCA